rnacentral:rRNA from 1 species
UACGUAGGGUGCAAGCGUUGUCCGGAAUUAUUGGGCGUAAAGGGCUCGUAGGCGGUCCGUCACGUCGGGAGUGAAAACUUGGGGCUUAACCCCAAGCCUGCUUCCGAUACGGGCGGACUAGAGGUAGGCAGGGGAGAACGGAAUUCCUGGUGUAGCGGUGAAAUGCGCAGAUAUCAGGAGGAACACUGGUGGCGAAGGCGGUUCUCUGGGCCUUACCUGACGCUGAGGAGCGAAAGCGUGGGGAGCAAACAGG